UCGAGAAGCUUCGGCAAUGGGCGAAAGCCUGACCGAGCGACGCCGCGUGAGCGAAGAAGGCCCUAUGGGUUGUAAAGCUCUGUCAGAUUGGGAAGAAAACCUCGUGAUUAAUACCUGCGAGGCUUGACGGUACCAUCAGAGGAAGCACCGGCUAACCCCGUGCCAGCAGCCGCGGUAAUACGGGGGGUGCAAGCGUUGUUCGGAUUCACUGGGUAUAAAGGGUGCGCAGGCGGCCUGUUAAGUCAGAGGU
rnacentral:rRNA from 1 species